AAGGGGGAAAUUUGUUCUCUGUUAUUAGAGGACCUAAGUUGGAUAAGUAGAUGGUGGGUAAAGGCCUACCAGGCGAGGUUUGUAGUUGUUUGAGAGGAUGAUCAGCCACACGGGAUUGAGACACGGCCCGGACUCCUACGGGAGGCAGCAGUGGGAAUAUUGGACAAUGGGGGCAACCCUGAUCCAGCCAUGCCGCGUGUGGAAGAAGGCCUUUUGGUUGUAAAGCACUUUAAGCAGUGAAGAAGACUCUAUGGUUAAUACCCAUAGACGAUGACAUUAGCUGCAGAAUAAGCACCGGCUAACUCUGUGCCAGCAGCCGCGGUAAUACAGAGGGUGCAAGCGUUAAUCGGAAUUACUGGGCGUAAAGCGAGCGUAGGUGGCUUGAUAAGUCAGAUGUGAAAGCCCCGGGCUUAACCUGGGAACGGCAUCUGAUACUGUUAGGCUAGAGUAGGUGAGAGGAAGGUAGAAUUCCAGGUGUAGCGGUGAAAUGCGUAGAGAUCUGGAGGAAUACCGAUGGCGAAGGCAGCCUUCUGGCAUCAUACUGACACUGAGGUUCGAAAGCGUGGGUAGCAAACAGGAUUAGAUACCCUGGUAGUCCACGCCGUAAACGAUGUCUACUAGUCGUUGGGUCCCUUGAGGACUUAGUGACGCAGCUAACGCAAUAAGUAGACCGCCUGGGGAGUACGGCCGCAAGGUUAAAACUCAAAUGAAUUGACGGGGGCCCGCACAAGCGGUGGAGCAUGUGGUUUAAUUCGAUGCAACGCGAAGAACCUUACCUGGUCUUGACAUAUCUAGAAUCCUGCAGAGAUGCGGGAGUGCCUUCGGGAAUUAGAAUACAGGUGCUGCAUGGCUGUCGUCAGCUCGUGUCGUGAGAUGUUGGGUUAAGUCCCGCAACGAGCGCAACCCUUGUCCUUAGUUACCAGCGGUUUGGCCGGGAACUCUAAGGAUACUGCCAGUGACAAACUGGAGGAAGGCGGGGACGACGUCAAGUCAUCAUGGCCCUUACGACCAGGGCUACACACGUGCUACAAUGGUAGGUACAGAGGGCAGCUACACAGCGAUGUGAUGCGAAUCUCAAAAAGCCUAUCGUAGUCCAGAUUGGAGUCUGCAACUCGACUCCAUGAAGUAGGAAUCGCUAGUAAUCGCGGAUCAGAAUGCCGCGGUGAAUACGUUCCCGGGCCUUGUACACACCGCCCGUCACACCAUGAGCGUUAAUCGCGUCUUAAGUAUCUGGCAAGCCAGUAGGUAUGC
rnacentral:rRNA from 1 species